AGGGGAUAGCUUAGUGGUAGAGCAUGUGCUUAGUGUGUGCAGGGUCCUGGGUUCAAUCCCCUGUACCUCUA
rnacentral:tRNA from 1 species